CAGGAAAUAGUUUAGUAAAAUUUUAAUUUUGGAGAUUAAAGAUAAGAAUAGAUUUCUUUUUCCUGA
rnacentral:tRNA from 1 species